GCGUCUAGGAGCAGUUUAAGCAGAAGUAUAAAGACAAUGUGCUGCUGUUGUACAGCUCAAAAAGUAAUUUGCAAAAAAACAGAUUUACGUCUAGACGCAGAUUUACGUCUAAACGCAGAUUUAUGUCUUAAACGCAGAUUUACGUCUGAACUUUGAAACUCGUUUGUAUACUCGCAGAAGGCAGUAUGCAGUUGAAAUCAAGACGUAAACGUGAAUUGAGAUCUGAUGAUUGUGCGAGGAAAGCCGAUUUACGUCUAAAUGCAGUUUUACGUCUAAAUGUUGAAACUCGUUCGUAAAAUUGUAGAGGACAGUUUGCAGUUAUCAAUAGGAUCAAAAUGUAAGUGUAAACUGCAAAGAAACUCGUUCGUAAAAGCACGGAAGACAGUUCUGCAGAAUCAAACGUAAACGUAAACUGUAAUGUACGAAAAUACGAAUUUACGUCUGAAUGCAGAUUUGGAAGAACAGCACUUAGAACUUGUUCGUGAAAGCGCAGAGAGCAGUAGUAAUGAAGGAGGUUUGCAGUAAUGAUAAAGUGCUCAAAAAUAAACGCAAACCAGAGAUUUAGAGUGGUUCGGUCAGCCUUGACCUACUCCACUUUUAGCUUUCUCCACCGACGAGGUCGCCGACGUCAACUAGGGGCCUUCCUUCAAUAGGCGAAGGCCAAACUGCCCUUUUACAGUUUCUCUCCUUUUGACAUGCUCAGGAGACAACCUUUACAGACCUUUCUCUCCUCACUUUACAACUGAAAACUUGAAGAACAGAAGGAGGAGACUUAAAGGCUUUACAACACUUUUGAGCUCUUAGAAUCACAGAAAAGAUCAAGAUUUUGGUGUAGGUCU
rnacentral:lncRNA from 1 species